rnacentral:rRNA from 1 species
UACGUAGGGAGCAAGCGUUGUUCGGAUUUACUGGGCGUAAAGGGCGCGUAGGCGGCAAUUCAAGUCAUCUGUGAAAUCUCCGGGCUUAACUCGGAACUGUCAGAUGAUACUGCUUUGCUAGAGUGCAGAAGGGGCAAUCGGAACUCUUGGUGUAGCGGUGAAAUGCGUAGAUAUCAAGAGGAACACCUGAGGUGAAGACGGGUUGCUGGGCUGACACUGACGCUGAGGCGCGAAAGCCAGGGGAGCAAACGGG